GUCCGGUGUCCCGUCAAGAUGAGGUGCAUUGCGCUACUGUGCAUGAGUGCGCAUGCGCACAUCAUUCUACCCCGGACUUGAAGACGUCACCCGUCGAGAUGUGGUGAACGUCGAGAUGAGGUGAACGUCGAGAUGUGGUGAACGUCGAGAUGAGGUGAACAUCGAGAUGAGGUGAACGUCGAGAUGAGGUGAAUGUCGAGAUGAGGUGAACGUUGAGAUGAGAUGAACGUCGAGAUGAGGUGCAUUGCGCUACUGUGCAUGAGUGCGCAUGCGCACAUCAUUCUACCCCGGACUUGAAGACGUCACCCGUCGAGAUGAGGUGCGUCGCGCU